UUAGCAUGACAUCACAAUGUGCUUUAGUGAUGCACACAUGGCUGUGUGGGGGUAUGGAAGGGAUGAGGGUACACAGGGAGCCCGGGGAACCACAGCUUGGGGGAUUGUGACUGCUUGGGCAGGAAUAAGCUUUAUGAGAUCACUGUUGGCCUGAUGGCCUGGUACAAGGUGGGGUCCUGGUCAAGCCAUCAUUAUAGUCUCAGCUUUCAGAUCCCAGGGAGACGUGGGGCUCCUUCCUGGGGUCUGGAUCCUCCCAAGGCUAUGGGGUUGUCAUCCCAACAGCUGCGGAGGAAGCACUGGGAAGCACUUGCUCACUGCCUAGGGAUACCAGGAAAUGCUACGGUGCUGGGCCCAGAACUCCUUAAGGUGCAGAGGGGGGAUCCCUGAGGGGAUGGAGAAGCCACAAUCCUUUGCUUAUACCGAGCCAGGGAAACUUAACAAAGGUUUGCUCUCUCUGAUCACACCCAGCCCAGAGAUUUUACAGGCAUUAGCAAAUCCCCAUUAUCCAGAGUCUGUCAUCAAGGAAGUGCCAAGAACAGAAAGGUCUGGAAGCUCAUCCAAGAACUAUCACACUUUCAAGAGCUGGGGAGGGAUGACACGGAGACGGCAGCUCUCACCAGAUCAUUUGCUUCUGCUUGGUUAAAAAUUCUUGGAGAAGGACUCAGAAACACAAGUGAGAGGACCCAUAUAAAGAUGGAGAUGGCAAAGUAGGCCCUGGGUACCAGCAAUGGCCAGUAGUGGUGCUGCCACUGCCCAAAGAACACAGAGAGUGUACCUGUGUCCCAGCUCCUUCGGAUGGUGCAAACUCCAUGGACUUCAAGAUGCUGAAAGAGCAAGACAGAGCAGUGAUUUUCUACUUAUACCUUUGAUAACAGCCACGCUAAUAAUAAGCAUUAAUGGUACAAUUUCCUGCUCUCCAGGAGCUGAAGAACUGACAACUUUAACAACUUCCCUGGCAGGAGCUUUAAUCUGAUAAUGUCUUUAGAAUAACUAGUAUUCAACUAGCAGUUGGCUAGCAAAAGAUUUUUUUGCCCAGCAUGUAAAUCAUUCCAUAUGGAAUCACACCAGGUCUGUUCAGAGUAUAAUUUUAAAGUUUAAUACAGACAUCACAUUGUUGUGAGUGGAAUGUAUUUGUGAAGCUUAAAGGGAAUGAAAAAGUUCUUCCAGGGACACCACAGAGAGGGCAACUCUCUACUGUGGACAUGAACUUGGUAAUCAGGACCCACUCAGGGCCCAGGAAAAACAGACAAACAGCAAUAUCCCAUACAGGGAUGGCUCGAAGGCCAGGCAGGCAGACCGUGCAACCCCAGAUCUGAGAAGAAGCUCUAAAGACAGAGGCAUAUCGAACAUCAUUCCCCAUUGUUCCUGUUAGCACGGGCAUGGGCUAGGUUCCAGAGCUGCUCCAGGCUCUGGACUGUCUGAACAAGGCAGGAGGUUGUGAGGUCAGGUCCCUGGAACUACUGUUGCUCAUGCUCUUUUUGCUGGGGAUGAUCCUUUCUGCCAGCAUCAGAGAGAAUAGGGGAAGUGAGUCUGUUGGGCCCUAAGGAGCUGCCCAAUAGGGAACAACGGGGCUUGGACAGGCUGGGUCCACAGGGAGGUUUACAAUUUGUAGGCAGCAAGUCAAGUGGACCCUUCCAGUGUUUCUGCAGCCGAGAUUUUCGUCUCCCAUAAUUGAGAUUUUAAGCUCGCACAAUGAUGGUAAAGAGGCUAUUACAGGUGAAGGGCCCCCAGAGCUGUUGUGCUGGUUUGGUUAAGGAAAAAGACUGGCCUCUCUAGUUGUCUGCAUCUUUGCAUUGUGUCUACUGUGUCAACUAACAAAAGCAGGGACAAGGUGGAGUAAACCAUGUGAGAACUCUGGGUUUUUCAUAUUACACAGGAGAGGCUAUGAGCUCUCUGGACAAACUUGCCUUUUUUUUUUUUUUUUUUUAAGAACAAUUCAUGUUGUUUGCAUCUAUAUUCUUGUUCUUUAUUUGGGUCUUCUUUAGGAUGAUGCAGUGAGAGGCUGAGUUAGUCUGUAUAGGUUAAGCAUCCCAAAUCUGAAAACCAAAACUUUUUGAGGGCUGGUAUGACCCUACAGUGGAAAAUUCCACACUACGAAACUUUGCUUCAUGUACAAAAUUAUUAAAAAUACCGCAUAAAAUUACCUUUCAGGUUAUGUGCAAAAGAUGCAUAUGAAAAAUAA